rnacentral:rRNA from 1 species
CGUCCAGACUCCUACGGGAGGCAGCAGUGAGGAAUAUUGGUCAAUGGGCGCGAGCCUGAACCAGCCAAGUCGCGUGAGGGAAGACGGUCCUAUGGAUUGUAAACCUCUUUUGUCAGGGAGCAAUUGGCGCUACGUGUAGCGUUAUCGAGAGUACCUGAAGAAAAAGCAUCGGCUAACUCCGUGCCAGCAGCCGCGGUAAUACGGAGGAUGCGAGCGUUAUCCGGAUUUAUUGGGUUUAAAGGGUGCGUAGGCGGAAUGCCAAGUCAGCGGUAAAAUCGCGGGGCUCAACCUCGCUCCGCCGUUGAAACUGGCGUUCUUGAGUGGGCGAGAAGUAUGCGGAAUGCGUGGUGUAGCGGUGAAAUGCACAGAUAUCACGCAGAACUCCGAUUGCGAAGGCAGCAUACCGGCGCUCAACUGACGCUCAUGCACGAAAGUGUGGGUAUCGAACAGGAUUAGAUACCCCCGUAAU